rnacentral:lncRNA from 12 species
CAGUGGGGCGCUCGGGCUCGUCCUCGAGCGGGGAGGGCGGGGAUGGACGAGCCGAGUCCUAAGCGUGAAGCCGGAAUCCGUCAAGGUUCCUUCACGCGGCUCAGAGAACUUGAAGAAGUUGUGUGCGUUCUGGUGGCGCUGGGCUCUAAAAUUUUCCUCUAUCCGAAUCCUGUUCUUGUUUUUACGUAUUUUCGAUGCCUGGUGGUAUCUUAUUAGAACUGAACAUUGAUCACUGUAUUUCACGAGGAUUGGGAGAAAAAGAACAAAAGGCGUCUAAAAAGGAACAUCCCAUUUCCGUGAUCCGCUCUACCGAAAUUUUGAGAAAGAAUAUGCUUCAGCAGCCGCACACGUUGAUCUUCAGGGCAGAGCGGGGGCUCUCGGCUGGGGACGGGAAGUCCAGACUCACCGUCAGGAAAUCUCCGUUGCCUUCAGGAUAAGUCCCGUCUCCCUAGAUCCGCUUCGCAAGGGCCUCCGAAUCCUGUCUCCAGCAGGAUCGUCCACCUGCGGCCGCUCCCCACUCCCCCCCCCCCUUCCCCGAGCUCCAGCCCACCUGAGUGGCUCUCGGUUCUCCAGGGCGACGGUCCUCCCCAGCUUCGGCAACACGCCCCGGCCUCCUCCUUUCGUAAGAGGUGGCUUCCUUCCUUUCCCUCACCUCCUAACCCCGAGUGAAGGGCCGGUGGCGUCCCUCCCAGCAGGGUGCACCCGUCGCCCUGCGCUGCGCUCGCCUGCUGUGCGCCCGGGGUGCUCCAGCCCACACCAGCUCCUCGGAACCGGGCUGCUGCAUCCCGCUCACCAUUGUUCCCAGCUCCCCAGGACGGUCCUUGGCAGUACUGGUCGGACCCUCUAAGAAUUCAGCGACCGGCGUAGGAAAACAAAAAUUAGAGUCGCCUUAGGUAUCUACCGACAGAUUUAUCUUAUGUUGCUGUGUUUUUCAGUUUUGAAUGCUCCUCAUUUAAUCAGAAGUUUCUCUAGAAGAAUAACUUUUUUAAAAAAAUGAUAUAAAUUUUGCUUAGACCAUUCUGAUGUUUUUGUCACAAUUAACCAUAAAUCUUUUUUAGCAGCCAUCGUGUGUGUGGUUUGUGAAGUGAAAUUCUGGAACAGUAGCUCCCUGUUUAACGUUAAGGGGCAGAAAUGUUCAUGUUAAGCCCAGGCUCUGAAACUUUAAAACUGAGCUGAAACUAAAUGCCAAAAAAUGAUAGUGGAAGGAAAGAACAUUAUGGUGGACGUUCUGAUCCUUGAUUGUUAUUAUUAAUUUUUAGGACAGCAAUUAUCAAUAUGUUAGGAAAUUGUCCUGAUACUGACUUAAAAAAAUAUCCUGUACUCUUAAUAUUUUUCUUUUGUUUAAGAGAUGUCAUGGUAACAAAUUGAAAUUAUCAUUUUCCUUGUGCUCCUUCUGAGCUAGCAGUGUUACAUAUGUACAUUUAGAUCUGUAGUAUUUCUAAACACCACCCUGCUACACACUUUCAAUAAAGUUAAACAAGAAUUCUUUGUUGAGAGAUGU